rnacentral:lncRNA from 1 species
AUCUAUUUUGACGAAUUUGAUGUGUAGCGCCAUAUGAUACCUCCUACUAGGGUAUUUACGGCAUGAGCAGCCAUUGGCACAAGAACAGUUGAUGAUAAAAUUGUAGCAUAACCGUACGCAAUUCCAACAAAUGUGGCCCAGACAGCAAAGGAGUACUUUCGACCACUGCCCAAGUGUAGUAUCCAAAAUAUGGAAGCAACUGCCACGACACUCUGCC